UGGGGAAUAUUGCACAAUGGGCGAAAGCCUGAUGCAGCAACGCCGCGUGAGUGAUGAAGGCCUUCGGGUUGUAAAGCUCUGUCUUCUGGGACGAUAAUGACGGUACCAGAGGAGGAAGCCACGGCUAACUACGUGCCAGCAGCCGCGGUAAUACGUAGGUGGCAAGCGUUGUCCGGAUUUACUGGGCGUAAAGGAUGCGUAGGCGGAUACUUAAGUCAGAUGUGAAAAUCCCAGGCUUAACUUGGGAACUGCAUUUGAAACUGGGUACCUAGAGUGCGGGAGAGGAAAGUGGAAUUCCUAGUGUAGCGGGGAAAUGCGUAGAGAUUAGGGAGAAAACCGGUGGCGAAGGCGACUUUCUGGACCGUAACUGACGCUGAGGCAUGAAAGCGUGGGGAGCG
rnacentral:rRNA from 1 species